GUGAAGUCGCCCAGUCGUGUCCGACUCUUAGCGACCCCAUGGACUGCAGCCUACCAGGCUCCUCCAUCCAUGGGAUUUUCCAGGCAAGAGUACUGGAGUGGGGUGCCAUUGCCUUCUCCGUCCUUUCUCUACCCACAGUUUUUAAAGGCAAACUUGAUGGUGUCACUCCCUUGGUUAAAACCAAGCAUUAAUUCCUCUUAACAUGCAAGAUGAAAUCCACAGUCAUCUUGGGGUACCCAAGGGCCUUCAUGGUGUGUCCCUACCCCCUUCUCCACCCUCAUUUCUGCUGCUCUCUAGCCUUGCCAGACACUCCUGAACUGAUAACUAGGGCUGUGCCUCUGUCCCUUCGUAAUCUCUUCUUGCUGCCCUGAAAGCCCUCUCACCUUUUUCUCCUCCUUCUACGGAGCAGCAUCUCUAGAGUGUCAUCUCCCCCAAGAGGCCUUCCCUACAGCCUCCCCCACCCACAGCUGGUUUUGAUGCUCUUACUCUAUGUGUCCAUGGCACUUUAUUCUCACCUCUGUCACAGCACUUACCACUCUGAAUUGUAAUAGUGCUUUUGCUUGUCUGUCUUCCCAGACUUGACUUUGAACUCAACAACAGAGACCUAGUUAAAUGCACAGAGGAGCCUGGCAGGCCACCGUUAGGGGGUCGCAAAAAGUCAAGAAACUGACUGAGCACAACAACGACACAUCACUAAUACCUAGUGUGGUGCCCGGCACAUAGUGGGUCUGAAAAGGUAGACAAUGCUAUAAAAUCUGACAUGGGACACCAUGUGUCGGUCAGAGUUACCCACGGGUAACAUGCAUGUUCACCAGGGUCACUGAAGACAGUUUAAUGAGGAGACUAUUAGCAAGGUGUGUUCAGGGAUAGGAGAAACACAAGCGAUGGCAAAGCACCAGGGACUAGCAAAAUCUGGAAGCUGUUACCACCGUAGGUCUGACUGGGCAAGGCAGGGAACAGUUCCUGGAAGCUACAAGAGCCAUGGCAAGGGAGAGGGUCCCCACAGAUGCUGUGGCCUUUGUUACAGAAAUACAGUUACUGUCAGACCGUAGGAGGAAGGUGGGAACCAGGGGGAUACAUACCAAUAUCUCUCUCUUCUCACCUUCUGAUCUUCAGCAGUGCCUCCAAUGGGACAACCCAACUGGAAGGUUGCGCAGGGCAGAAAAAUACAGAAAGUGAAUCUGGAGGGGCAAAAAGACUAUCCAUCACAUCGUAGAAAGAUGCUGAAACCCGCCGCCCCCGCUCCCCCGACCCAGCAAUGAAAGGCAUUAGCUGCUUGAUGACCAUGAGAACCGUAGCCCUCAGAGGACUGAUAAUGUUAACCCCUGUGACAUGGCCCUAUUACCUCACCAUCAAACAAAGAAUUGUGCACAAGCAGAUCACACACCCUGUGACUCCCCUCCCUCACCUUGUCUUUAAACAUGCUUCCCUGACUGCUGUGUAGCACAGGGAGCUCAACUUGGUGCUCUGUGAUGACCUAGAGGGGUGGAUGGGGGAUGGGGGAGGGAGGCUCAAGAGGGAGGGGAUAUAUGUAUACAUAUAGCCAAUUCACGUUGUUGUACAGCAAAAACGAACACAACAUCGUAAAGCAAUUAUACUCCAACUAAAAGUAGAUUUAAAAAAAAAUGCUUCCCUGAAACCCAUGGUAGGGUUCAGGCUUUUUGAGUAUUAGCUGCCCUGGAUUCCUUGUUUGAAACUCUACCAUAAAUGCUGCACUUUUCUCUGCUACAACCUGGGGUCAGCCGAUUGACAUUACUACCCAUGGGCAAAAACAGACGCAAGUCUUGUUCAGUAACAAGCAAAGCAAACCAGGUGCCCCCCAAAACGCACCUCCUCUUGGGACUCAUCUCCCCUCCAAGGCCCUCGGGGACUUUGCAUUCUCCCUGUGCAGGGGCAAUUCCUAGAACAAACAGGAUACCUCACAACUCCAUGUCCUGGGACAUGCUUCCCCCUCCUAUCUGCCCCCGCAGAAUGUGGCUAGACCCUACUUGUCCUUUAAGAUCCAUGUAAAGAAAGAAAAAGGACAGUCUCUGAUAGGAAUCUUUCCUAAGAAAAUAAACAUGUGGGCAAAGUUA